rnacentral:rRNA from 1 species
AUUGAACGCUGGCGGCAGGCCUAACACAUGCAAGUCGAGCGAGCGGCGGACUGGUGGGUAAUGUAUUGGGAUCUGCCCGAUCGAGGGGGAUAACUGCUGGAAACGGUGGCUAAUACCGCCUACUAUCAGCUCGACCCAUGUGGGAUUAUCUAGUCGGUGGGGUAAAGGCUCACCUAGGCGACGAUGUCUAGCUGGUCUGAGAGGAUGAUCAGCCACACUGGGACUGAGACACGGCCCAGACUCCUACGGGAGGCAGCAGUAGGGAAUAUUGCACAAUGGGCGCAAGUCUGAUGCAGCCAUGCCGCGUGUAUGAAGAAGGCCUUAGGGUUGUAAAGUACUUUCAGCGGGGAGGCGGUACCCGCAGAAGAAGCAACGGCUAACUCCGUGCCAGCAGCCGCGGUAAUAC